rnacentral:rRNA from 1 species
UACGGAGGAUGCAAGCGUUAUCCGGGAUGAUUGGGCGUAAAGCGUCCGCAGGUGGCUGUGUAAGUCUGCUGUUAAAGAGUCUAGCUCAACUAGAUACAAGCAGUGGAAACUACACGGCUAGAGUACGUUCGGGGCAGAGGGAAUUCCUGGUGUAGCGGUGAAAUGCGUAGAGAUCAGGAAGAACACCGGUGGCGAAGGCGCUCUGCUAGGCCGUAACUGACACUGAGGGACGAAAGCUAGGGGAGCGAAUGGG